ensembl:lncRNA
ACGAAGGAUUGAUGGAUGAACAGCGAACACUUAUUUUUAAUGGUUCCAGAAGCUGCAAGUGUGACAGCGAGGCCAGCGUGGCCCGGUUGCGUUUCUGGUGCUGGUUCCUGUGACCAGGCUCCGCCCUCAGGAUUUGUCCUGAACUCCGGAAGCCAUUGCACGGCAGGUGAAGUGUGCACUGUGCCUGGCAGGGGUUCGGAGAGGCAUGGAGACAGGCCCAGUCCCUGCCAGGCAAUGUUUGGCUCUCCCGUCCCUGACGCCGGGCCCAGCGGAGAUACCCCAGCCGUCCCAGAGGCAGCCUGGGUGCUGGCGCUUUUAAGAGCUUCACAGGCUCAUGCUCAGAACGGCCCCUCCGGAGACUCCGAUUUGCACAGCUGGUUACUGGGAAGAAAGUGGGUGGAGUGAAUUCAGGGCCUCCAUUCUGGGAGAGGCCUGCACCCACCCUGCUCACCUGCCCACGCUGAAACCCUGCUGUCUCCUCUUAAAGCUAGGGAAGGCAAUGGUGUCCUGAAACACAAAUUUCCACCACGGAAAAGGGAACUGAUUCUUGACAGUGUGUGCUACGUGUUCCAAAGGGAGCGCUAGUUUCAGGGUUUUAUCACAUGACUCUGGGUCCUUGAUAAGAAAGUAAAAAUUUUUAAACAAUAUUUCACGACAUGGUUAUUUGGAAAAGGAAAAGUGUGGUAUGGGUUACUCUGAAAUUGGAGUCAAUAACUCCAAAGUUCUGUGAUCUGCAGUGAAUGAUUAUUGUAAGCACAUAUUUUCUUGCUAACCUGUUAGUGCUGCCGAGGGCAGACCUCGAUACCUGCCGUCAAGACUCCCUGUCUGCCCAGGGCUGGAACCCAUGUGGACAUGACGUGCUCGCUAUGAUGCAUUUCUGAUACAGCCCCAGUCUCUGGCCAUCCAGUGCCUCGAGAAGCCUUGCUGCAAUGGGGCUGGCACCAGGUCUCUAACUCUGCCUCUGUCCGCCAGGGCCACUGCGAGCUGCUGCUGCUGGGGCAGGAGGAUAAUACAGGUGGUGACAGGUCUCCCACUACCCCAGCAGCUAUUAUGUACAGUAGCUGCCCUCUUCCCAUCGUGCCUUGCCCCCUCCCCUGUGUGACGUCAUGCCAAGAUGGCUGCUCCCACCAAAGAACAAACCCUUCUUCCCAGCAUGCCCCUGUUCCCACCUAGAGAGUAACCUAAUACUCACUCACCUCCUACCACCUAGUGACGUCACCGGCUCCUCCAUUCCCUAGUCACUACCUCACUCAACCCCACCUCAGCCCCUACAAACCCCACCCCAGUCUAUAAAAGACUCUCCCUGCCCCGGCCAUAUUGCUUUUGUCUCUCCUUUGUUUAGAGACAGCUCAGCAGAUCUAUUCCCCUAAUAAAGGCUUGUUGUGGCCUGGUCUGGUCUUGGUCUUCGGCCUUUUACCUGACGGGUGGGGCCCAGUCCAGGGUGCAAAUCCCUCCUUGGCCGACCCUGCCCUAAACUGAGGCUUCUCCCUUAUCUAGCCGACCUUACCCUAAAUUUACGCUUUCUAACCUGAGUUAUAGACCAAUCAGUAGUAAUGAUAUCAUAUUAACCAAUCAACUGCUUGCUCUGCUUCUGUACUAGUUCUUGCUUGCAAACCCUAUAUAAACACUAGGUGGACAAAAGACAGCUGCCUGGUUCUUUGAGGAAUUAUUCCGACCAGGCCCAUCAACGUAAAUAAAGUGUGCUUUCUGCCUCUAAGUCCUUGGU